UUUUUUUUCGUCUCCUAUACUGCAGUCGACGAGCUUCCGUUGAAUGACGUGCUUGCACUGAUUUCAACAAUGAAGCGAGUGGCGAACUGGUGAGUAACACGUGGGAAAUCUGCCCAGAAGCAGGGGAUAACACUUGGAAACAGGUGCUAAUACCGUAUAACAACAAAAUCCGCAUGGAUUUUGUUUGAAAGGUGGCUUCGGCUAUCACUUCUGGAUGAUCCCGCGGCGUAUUAGUUAGUUGGUGAGGUAAAGGCCCACCAAGACGAUGAUACGUAGCCGACCUGAGAGGGUAAUCGGCCACAUUGGGACUGAGACACGGCCCAAACUCCUACGGGAGGCAGCAGUAGGGAAUCUUCCACAAUGGACGAAAGUCUGAUGGAGCAAUGCCGCGUGAGUGAAGAAGGGUUUCGGCUCGUAAAACUCUGUUGUUAAAGAAGAACACCUUUGAGAGUAACUGUUCAAGGGUUGACGGUAUUUAACCAGAAAGCCACGGCUAACUACGUGCCAGCAGCCGCGGUAAUACGUAGGUGGCAAGCGUUGUCCGGAUUUAUUGGGCGUAAAGCGAGCGCAGGCGGUUUUUUAAGUCUGAUGUGAAAGCCUUCGGCUUAACCGGAGAAGUGCAUCGGAAACUGGGAGACUUGAGUGCAGAAGAGGACAGUGGAACUCCAUGUGUAGCGGUGGAAUGCGUAGAUAUAUGGAAGAACACCAGUGGCGAAGGCGGCUGUCUAGUCUGUAACUGACGCUGAGGCUCGAAAGCAUGGGUAGCGAACAGGAUUAGAUACCCUGGUAGUCCAUGCCGUAAACGAUGAGUGCUAAGUGUUGGAGGGUUUCCGCCCUUCAGUGCUGCAGCUAACGCAUUAAGCACUCCGCCUGGGGAGUACGACCGCAAGGUUGAAACUCAAAGGAAUUGACGGGGGCCCGCACAAGCGGUGGAGCAUGUGGUUUAAUUCGAAGCUACGCGAAGAACCUUACCAGGUCUUGACAUCUUCUGCCAAUCUUAGAGAUAGACGUUCCCUUUCGGGACAAGAAUGACCAGGUGGUGCAUGCUGUCGUCAGCCUCGUGUCGUGAGAUGUGGGAUAGUUCCGCACGAGCCAACCCUUAUAUCAGUGCCAGCAUUCAGUGGCACUUCUGGGUGAGAGACUGCCCGGUGACAACCCGAGGAAGUGGA
rnacentral:rRNA from 1 species